rnacentral:rRNA from 1 species
UACGGAGGGUGCAAGCAUUAAUCGGAAUUAUUGGGCGUAAAGGGCGCGUAGGCGGGUAUAUAAGUCAGAUGUGAAAUUCCGAGACUCAAUAUCGGAGCUGCAUUUGAAACUAUAUAUCUGAGAGGAUUGGCGGAGAGAACGGAAUUCCACGUGUAGCGGUGAAAUGCGUAGAUAUGUGGAAGAACACCUGUGGCGAAAGCGGUUUUCUAGCUUAUUCCUGACGCUGAGGCGCGAGAGCAAGGGGA